AAAACAUUGUCUCAUGAAUAAAAUAUGAGAUAAUACCUGCCCAGUGACACAAAGUUCAACGGCCGCGGUAUCCUAACCGUGCAAAGGUAGCAUAAUCAUUUGCCCAUUAAUUGUGGGCUAGAAUGAACGGGUCAACGAAAUAAAAACUGUCUCAAUUAAUUACCUAAAAAUUAAUUUCUACUUGAAGAAGAGUAGAUAAUCUCGAAGGACAAGAAGACCCCAUAGAGCUUAAUUUUAAUUAUAGAGUUAUUCUAUAAAAAUAUUCGGUUGGGGCGACCCAGGGACAAUAAUCACCCAGUAAAUAAAAGAUAAAUAAAUCAAAUAAAUGACCCUUUUAAGAUCAUAGGAACAAGCUACCUUAGGGAUAACAGGCUAAUCCCACUCAAGAGUCCUUAUCAACAGUGGGGUUUGGCACCUCGAUGUUGGCUUAGGGUAUCCAUAUAGCGCAAAAGUUAUAUAAAGAUGGUUUGUUCAACCAAUAAUUCCCUACGUGAUCUGA
rnacentral:rRNA from 1 species